rnacentral:misc_RNA from 1 species
GAAACGCGAUAGUUAAUGUGAAUUGCAGAAUUCAGUGAAUCAUCGAGUCUUUGAACGCACAUUGCGCCCUUUGGUAUUCCGAAGGGCAUGUCUGUUUGAGCGUCAUUACAACUCCUCGUUAACAAAUUUUUUUUGUGAGCGGUCUUGAGCGUCUGGUGGCGUGCUUUGCGCACGGCCGGCUCUAAAGUAAAUGAAAUGCUCUGCCAGCCGUCUGGAAAAACUUUACGUAGUAACAACUUUACAACCGUUCAGCUUGAGAGACGUGCCCGGCCUGAAAAACCUCACCAACCUUUCUUAGGUUUGACCUCAGAUCAGACAAGGAUACCCGCUGAACUUAA